AAGCCAGCACCUCAAGUGGUCAGGAGGAUUAUUGGGCCUAAAGCAUCCGUAGCCUGUUCUAUAAGUUUCCGGUUAAAUCCAUUAGCUCAACUAAUGGGCCGCCGAAAAUACUGUGGAACUAGGGAGUGGGAGAGGUAGACGGUACUCGGUAGGAAGGGGUAAAAUCCUUUGAUCUAUUGAUGACCACCUGUGGCGAAGGCGGUCUACCAGAACACGUUCGACGGUGAGGGAUGAAAGCUGGGGGAGCAAACCGGAUUAGAAACCCGAGUAGUCC
rnacentral:rRNA from 1 species